CCUACGGGAGGCAGCAGUGGGGAAUUUUGGACAAUGGGCGCAAGCCUGAUCCAGCAAUGCCGCGUGCAGGAUGAAGGCCUUCGGGUUGUAAACUGCUUUUGUACGGAACGAAACGGUUCUUUCUAAUAAAGAGAGCUAAUGACGGUACCGUAAGAAUAAGCACCGGCUAACUACGUGCCAGCAGCCGCGGUAAUACGUAGGGUGCGAGCGUUAAUCGGAAUUACUGGGCGUAAAGCGUGCGCAGGCGGUUAUAUAAGACAGAUGUGAAAUCCCCGGGCUCAACCUGGGACCUGCAUUUGUGACUGUAUAGCUAGAGUACGGUAGAGGGGGAUGGAAUUCCGCGUGUAGCAGUGAAAUGCGUAGAUAUGCGGAGGAACACCGAUGGCGAAGGCAAUCCCCUGGACCUGUACUGACGCUCAUGCACGAAAGCGUGGGGAGCAAACAGGAUUAGAUACCCUGGUAGUCCACGCCCUAAACGAUGUCAACUGGUUGUUGGGUCUUCACUGACUCAGUAACGAAGCUAACGCGUGAAAGUUGACCGCCGCGGGAGGACGGCCGGCGAGGUUAGUUAAACGUACAAUUAGUAAGUUGAGGCGNGAGAGNGCGACGGACGACGACGAGGGAGGAGG
rnacentral:rRNA from 1 species